rnacentral:rRNA from 1 species
GUGGGGAAUCUUCCGCAAUGGACGAAAGUCUGACGGAGCAACGCCGCGUGAGUGAUGAAGGUCUUCGGAUUGUAAAACUCUGUUGUCAGGGACGAAUGUGCGAAUGUUGAAUAAGCAUUUGUAUUGACGGUACCUGACGAGGAAGCCACGGCUAACUACGUGCCAGCAGCCGCGGUAAUACGUAGGUGGCAAGCGUUGUCCGGAAUUAUUGGGCGUAAAGAGCAUGUAGGCGGGCUUUUAAGUCCGACGUGAAAAUGCGGGGCUUAACCCCGUAUGGCGUUGGAUACUGGAAGUCUUGAGUGCAGGAGAGGAAAAGGGAAUUCCCAGUGUAGCGGUGAAAUGCGUAAAUAUUGGGAGGAACACCAGUGGCGAAGGCGCCUUUCUGGACUGUGUCUGACGCUGAGAUGCGAAAGCCAGGGUAGCAAACGGGAUUAGAAACCCUAGUAGUCC